rnacentral:rRNA from 1 species
GUGGUCAGGUAGAGAAUACCAAGGCGCUUGAGAGAACUCGGGUGAAGGAACUAGGCAAAAUGGUGCCGUAACUUCGGGAGAAGGCACGCUGAUAUGUAGGUGAAGUCCCUCGCGGAUGGAGCUGAAAUCAGUCGAAGAUACCAGCUGGCUGCAACUGUUUAUUAAAAACACAGCACUGUGCAAACACGAAAGUGGACGUAUACGGUGUGACGCCUGCCCGGUGCCGGAAGGUUAAUUGAUGGGGUUAGCGCAAGCGAAGCUCUUGAUCGAAGCCCCGGUAAACGGCGGCCGUAACUAUAACGGUCCUAAGGUAGCGAAAUUCCUUGUCGGGUAAGUUCCGACCUGCACGAAUGGCGUAAUGAUGGCCAGGCUGUCUCCACCCGAGACUCAGUGAAAUUGAACUCGCUGUGAAGAUGCAGUGUACCCGCGGCAAGACGGAAAGACCCCGUGAACCUUUACUAUAGCUUGACACUGAACAUUGAGCCUUGAUGUGUAGGAUAGGUGGGAGGCUUUGAAGUGUGGACGCCAGUCUGCAUGGAGCCGACCUUGAAAUACCACCCUUUAAUGUUUGAUGUUCUAACGUUGACCCGUAAUCCGGGUUGCGGACAGUGUCUGGUGGGUAGUUUGACUGGGGCGGUCUCCUCCUAAAGAGUAACGGAGGAGCACGAAGGUUGGCUAAUCCUGGUCGGACAUCAGGAGGUUAGUGCAAUGGCAUAAGCCAGCUUGACUGCGAGCGUGACGGCGCGAGCAGGUGCGAAAGCAGGUCAUAGUGAUCCGGUGGUUCUGAAUGGAAGGGCCAUCGCUCAACGGAUAAAAGGUACUCCGGGGAUAACAGGCUGAUACCGCCCAAGAGUUCAUAUCGACGGCGGUGUUUGGCACCUCGAUGUCGGCUCAUCACAUCCUGGGGCUGAAGUAGGUCCCAAGGGUAUGGCUGUUCGCCAUUUAAAGUGGUACGCGAGCUGGGUUUAGAACGUCGUGAGACAGUUCGGUCCCUAUCUGCCGUGGGCGCUGGAGAACUGAGGGGGGCUGCUCCUAGUACGAGAGGACCGGAGUGGACGCAUCACUGGUGUUCGGGUUGUCAUGCCAAUGGCACUGCCCGGUAGCUAAAUGCGGAAGAGAUAAGUGCUGAAAGCAUCUAAGCACGAAACUUGCCCCGAGAUGAGUUCUCCCUGACUCCUUGAGAGUCCUGAAGGAACGUUGAAGACGACGACGUUGAUAGGCCGGGUGUGUAAGCGCAGCGAUGCGUUGAGCUAACCGGUACUAAUGAACCGUGAGGCUUAACCUU